rnacentral:rRNA from 1 species
AUUGAACGCUGGCGGCAUGCUUUACACAUGCAAGUCGAACGGUAACAGGUUAAGCUGACGAGUGGCGAACGGGUGAGUAAUGCAUCGGAACGUGCCCGAUCGUGGGGGAUAACGCAGCGAAAGCUGCGCUAAUACCGCAUACGAUCUGAGGAUGAAAGCGGGGGACCGUAAGGCCUCGCGCGAUCGGAGCGGCCGAUGUCAGAUUAGGUAGUUGGUGGGGUAAAGGCCCACCAAGCCGACGAUCUGUAGCUGGUCUGAGAGGACGACCAGCCACACUGGGACUGAGACACGGCCCAGACUCCUACGGGAGGCAGCAGUGGGGAAUUUUGGACAAUGGGCGAAAGCCUGAUCCAGCAAUGCCGCGUGCAGGAAGAAGGCCUUCGGGUUGUAAACUGCUUUUGUACGGAGCGAAAAGGUCCUUUCUAAUACAAGGGGCUCAUGACGGUACCGUAAGAAUAAGCACCGGCUAACUACGUGCCAGCCGCCGCCGUAACAC